GAUGAACGCUGGCGGCGUGCCUAAUACAUGCAAGUCGAGCGAACGGACGAGAAGCUUGCUUCUCUGAUGUUAGCGGCGGACGGGUGAGUAACACGUGGAUAACCUACCUAUAAGACUGGGAUAACUUCGGGAAACCGGAGCUAAUACCGGAUAAUAUUUUGAACCGCAUGGUUCAAAAGUGAAAGACGGUCUUGCUGUCACUUAUAGAUGGAUCAGCGCUUCAUUAGCUAGUUGGUAAGGUAACGGCUUACCAAGGCAACGAUGGAUACCCGACCUGAAAGGGUGAUCGGACACACUGGAACUGAGACACGGUCCAGACUCCUACGGGAGGCAGCAGUAGGGAAUCUUCCGCAAUGGGCGAAAGCCUGACGGAGCAACGCGGCGUGAGUGAUGAAGGUCUUCGGAUCGUAAAACUCUGUUAUUAGGGAAGAACACAUGUGUAAGUAACUGUGCACAUCUUGACGGUACCUAAUCAGAAAGCCACGGCUAACUACGUG
rnacentral:rRNA from 1 species